rnacentral:rRNA from 1 species
UUUAAAUGUAAAAUUAAUUACUAAAGUAGUAUUAGUUAUGUUCUUGAAAUUUAAAGAUUUUGGCGGUAUUUUAGUCUAUUUAGAGGAACCUGUUCUAUAAUUGAUAGUCCACGAUUUACUUUACUUAAUUUAUAUGUUUGUAUACCGUUGUUAUUAGAAGAUUUUAUUAGAAUAUAAAUUUUUAAUAUUUUAAAUUAAAAAAUAUAUCAGAUCAAGGUGCAGUUUAUAUUUAAGAAGAAAUGGGUUACAAUAAAUUUAUUUAUACGGAUUAAAGUAAUAAAUUCUUUAUGAAGGUGGAUUUAAUAGUAAUAAAAUUAAUUUAAAUUUUAUGAUUUUAGCUCUAAAAUAUGU